GACGUCGUAGCCGAGGCCGAAGGCGAUCGCGUACUGGCGGAUGAGGUCGACGUCGCGGUCGGCGCGCAGGUUCGAGCGCAUCCGGUCGACGUCG
rnacentral:tRNA from 1 species